rnacentral:rRNA from 1 species
UAGCACAGGAGAGCUUGCUCUCUGGGUGACGAGUGGCGGACGGGUGAGUAAUGCAUGGGGAGCUGCCCAAUCGAGGGGGAUACCAGCUGGAAACGGCUGCUAAUACCGCAUACGCCCUGAGGGGGAAAGGUGGGGACCUUCGGGCCUACCGCGAUUGGAUGCACCCAUGUGGGAUUAGCUAGUUGGUGAGGUAACGGCUCACCAAGGCGACGAUCUCUAGCUGGUCUGAGAGGAUGACCAGCCACACUGGAACUGAGACACGGCCCAGACUCCUACGGGAGGCAGCAGUGGGGAAUAUUGCACAAUGGGGGAAACCCUGAUGCAGCCAUGCCGCGUGUGUGAAGAAGGCCUUCGGGUUGUAAAGCACUUUCAGUAGGGAGGAAGGGUUGAUGUCUAAUACGCAUCAACAUUGACGUUACCUACAGAAGAAGCACCGGCUAACUCCGUGCCAGCAGCCGCGGUAAUACGGAGGGUGCAAGCGUUAGUCGGAAUAACUGGGCGUAAAGCGCACGCAGGCGGUUAGAUAAGUCAGAUGUGAAAUCCCCGGGCUCAACCUGGGAACUGCAUUUGAAACUGUCUGACUAGAGUCUUGUAGAGGGGGGUAGAAUUCCAGGUGUAGC